rnacentral:rRNA from 1 species
CCGGCGCCUAAGGAUGGGUCUGCGGCCUAUCAGGUAGUAGUGGGUGUAGCGUACCUACUAGCCUACGACGGGUACGGGUUGUGAGAGCAAGAGCCCGGAGAUGGAUUCUGAGACACGAAUCCAGGCCCUACGGGGUGCAGCAGGCGCGAAAACUUUACAAUGCUGGAAACAGCGAUAAGGGGACCUCGAGUGCCAGGUUACAAAUCUGGCUGUCGUGAUGCCUAAAAAGCAUUGCAUAGCAAGGGCCGGGCAAGACCGGUGCCAGCCGCCGCGGUAACACCGGCGGCUCGAGUGGUAACCGUUAUUAUUGGGUCUAAAGGGUCUGUAGCCGGCCGGAUAAGUCUCUUGGGAAAUCCAGCAGCUCAACUGUUGGGCUUUCAGGAGAUACUGUCUGGCUCGAGGCCGGGAGAGGUGAGAGGUACUUCAGGGGUAGGGGUGAAAUCUUGUAAUCCUUGAAGGACCACCAGUGGCGAAGGCGUCUCACCAGAACGGACCUGACGGCAAGGGACGAAAGCUAGGGGCACGAACCGGAUUAGAUACCCGGGUAGUCCUAGCCGUAAACGAUACUCGCUAGGUGUCGGCCACGGUGCGACCGUUGUCGGUGCCGUAGGGAAGCCGUGAAGCGAGCCACCUGGGAAGUAUGGCCGCAAGGCUGAAACUUAAAGGAAUUGGCGGGGGAGCACCACAACGGGUGGAGCU